rnacentral:rRNA from 1 species
GAUGAACGCUGGCGGCGUGCCUAAUACAUGCAAGUCGAGCGAACGGACGAGAAGCUUGCUUCUCUGAUGUUAGCGGCGGACGGGUGAGUAACACGUGGAUAACCUACCUAUAAGACUGGGAUAACUUCGGGAAACCGGAGCUAAUACCGGAUAAUAUUUUGAACCGCAUGGUUCAAAAGUGAAAGACGGUCUUGCUGUCACUUAUAGAUGGAUCCGCGCUGCAUUAGCUAGUUGGUAAGGUAACGGCUUACCAAGGCAACGAUGCAUAGCUGACCUGAGAGGGUGAUCGGCCACACUAGAACUGAGACACGGUCCAGACUCCUACGGGAGGCAGCAGUAGGGAAUCUUCCGCAAUGGGCGAAAGCCUGACGGAGCAACGCCGCGUGAGUGAUGAAGGUCUUCGGAUCGUAAAACUCUGUUAUUAGGGAAGAACAUAUGUGGAAGUAACUGUGCACAUCUUGACGGUACCUAAUCAGAAAGCCACGGCUAACUACGUG